AUACCAUGAUGAGGGCAAUUCCUUUGAAGCUCCUUAAACCUAUCCCAUGUGUCUGAGAAACUUUCAUCAUCUUUUUGCUUAAAACUGUAUAUAUUUCUACAUAAGCGA
rfam:Helianthus annuus linkage group 3, whole genome shotgun sequence.